rnacentral:rRNA from 1 species
UACGGGGGGGGCAAGCGUUGUUCGGAAUUACUGGGCGUAAAGGGUUCGUAGGUGGCCAACUAAGUCAGACGUGAAAUCCCUCAGCUUAACUGGGGAACUGCGUCUGAUACUGGUUGGCUUGAGUGCAGGAGAGGAACGCGGAAUUCCAAGUGUAGCGGUGAAAUGCGUAGAGAUUUGGAGGAACACCAGUGGCGAAGGCGACUUUCUGGUCUGUAACUGACACUGAGGCGCGAAAGCGUGGGGAGCGAACAGG